UCGUCGCCGCUCGUCGCGCCGCCGCCGCCGCCGCCGCCGCAGCGAACGGAACGCCGGAAUCGGACCGCCAUUCCCCCACUCCGACCGCGCGCCUCUGGUGGUGUCUCUUUGUCUUUCUUUCACGCGUAAGUACAUACACUCGCACUUUUCGCGACUCUCUUUUUCCGUACUGUUAUUCCCUGAAUUGCGCCUCUUUCGCAAUACUCGUCUAUGUUCUUGAAUAUUAACGAACCUCGUCUCUCGGUCUGCCUCUCUCUCUCUCUCUCUCUUCGGCUCUUCCUCCUGUCCGUCCGCCUCCCUCCAUCUUGACCCGUUAGAAAAGCAGCGUCCGCUCGUUCCGUUGUUCUCAAGUCGCGUCCCGGGACGAGUCGGUAAGUGGACGAGCGCGUUUACGCGCUUUAACCCGCGCUCUUGACUUUUCGCGAGGACAUUUCGCACGGGGCGCGCGAUCGCUCCGCGGUGUCGUCGUCGAGCGUGACGAUUCCGCUCGGGAGCGAAAUCGGAGAUCGCGGCGAUCAUCAGUUUCCGGCGCGAGGCCGGCGCCAAGCGGCGAAAUUCGAACCUCGAGGGGAGGCAAUAUGGCGUGCCGAGGAAGCCGACGAGUUUACGCGUUCGCACAUUUCACGGACGAGAAGGUAUCGGCUACUUACGAAGAGAUGCGCGUGCGAUCUCGAAGGAAGAGGCGAGCAAUCGCGCGAGAGAGAGGAAUGCGCGAGAUUGCUGAGGACGCUUCAGUCCGGCGUAUUUUUGGGAGACGGCAGCCGGAACGACGCAGACCUCUCCUAAGACAACGCGCUUCCUAGAAUGAGUCGGCCGCUGGGAUAACAACGGAUGGAGGCGCCGAGGAAGCAAAAUACAUCGACCUAACUACGAGGAGGACGAGAGGGAAGGGACGCGAAAAUGAUUGAAUCUGGACCGAUUGUUGCCGCCGGCUUGACUUUCUAGUCGCGAUUUAAAGGUGCCGAGAUACGAGCGCGCGUGGGGCACGCGUGGAGCCUGUCAACACGCGUGACAACUGGCCUUCUUUGUUCACCAUCGCGUUCACCGUUCCUCGGCAGGAGCGCCGAGUGCGCAGAAGCGAUCGCCGCGGACUGCACAGGUCGCUCAGACCUGCGACUCACGAUGGCGAACGCCUUCCUCUUCCUUCGUCAGAUCUGGAGGACGUAAACAAAGCGCGGGAGACGAUUGGCUGAGGAGGGCGACCUGUCUGGCCCAGGUACCAGGUACUACAUCGCCCGUCUCUCGCCUCAGGUGUACACGGCUUCCGGUUUCAACGCUUCCAGGCGCAACCGAGCACCGCUGUGCGCGAGGCUGUAAUAGGGAUCACCAUUCCGCAGGCUGCGCUACUUCUGUCGGAUAAGCUUACUGGAUGGAGCACCGUUCGUGCGGAAAAUUAUUAAACCGAUUAUUUUACCAAUUAUUUCAACCUGUCGCUCCCGCCACAACCGGGUAGCUAUGUAGUUGAGAUUAUAGAGUAAAAUAUUACGGCAUCUAUAUUUUAAUAUCUGCGAAUAUAUGUAUUAGUUCCCUUUAGUUUUAUACGUACGGAUGAUUAUCAAGACUUUAGACAGCACACGUAUCUGGGUGUAUAUUUAAAACUUUUCGAGAGGUAAAAUAAGGUACCUUUCAUUCGUGGCAAUUUGAGAAUUAUUACAAAUAUCAUAAGAAUUUGGAAAGUUAUUUUUCUUGAAAUGUUUCCGGUGAACUUACUGAUCAAAAGGAUUUUUCAUUGUGUACAGUAACUUUGCAACAGCAAUGCAAGUUAAUACACGCACUGUAAAGUUACUGUACAAAGCAAUGAUAUGCAAUGACAAAGUAGUCAAAGAAUUUAAAAAAAUUUGUAAAACGUAAACAUUUUUUCGUGAAUUGUUUACUUGUUAGGUAACAGAGAUGCAAAUAAAUAUUUUUGUACAAAUGAUCUGAGAAUUAAAGGAUUCAAAUAUUGCUGCGCGAUAACAAAUCUUAUGAAAGAUCAGGAAUUUCAGGAUUAAAUUCAAAGUUUAAUUCAAAGUUACGAUUUUCCGUAACAAAGUAAAACUACUUUUGAAAUGGUGUCUGACCGACAAAAGGUUUUUUCUAUGUCCGUUUUAAAUAAUCUGUAAUUUGUAUUAGAAUUCAGAAUAAAACGCUUUCUAUAAUUCCAUGUGCCGCAUAUGACACGGAAAACAUAUUAAGAAUUGGAAAUAUGUAUGUAAACUGUAUAUUAAGAAGAUACACACAUAUAUGUGUGUGUGUGUGUUAAAAUGCGUACAUGAAAUUAAAAAUGCAAUUCUAUGCCGAAUUCUAAAAUGUAGGUCGUCUAAAAUGGACGACAGUAGCAUAAGAAAAUUGCAAUUUAUAUUGCUCAUAUCAUUCAUACACUGUGUACGGGACAAUAUAUUAUACGUAGCAUAUAAUUAUGAAUGCAAGUUAAUCCGGAUAUUAUCAUAUCCCUCGACAAGUAUCGUUGAAAUUGAUUGAAGUUGCAAUAGGCACAUUUCAAUAUCCUGAACAAUUUAUCAUGCUUAAUUUCAUGUAUGUACAUAUACAAUAUAAUUGUGAAAGAGAUUUAGGUGGAUUCGUUGAAAUAAUAUAGUCAAAAAUAAAAAAAAUAAAAUGUGACCCUUUUUUUAAAUUCGAAGAAAGAAUCAAUUCAUUUCCAAUAGUUUAUGAAGAAAAUUUGAUGCCGAACACAAUUCCUGUUCCCAAAAGGUUCUAUUUGAAUUUUGAGAGAAAAUUGAGAUUAAAAUUAAUAUAACCAGAGAAUAUUUCCAUACAUUUCACAGCGCAAUAUCUGCUGUGCUAUAUGAUACGUGUUGAAAAAAAAUUGAUUUUAUUUAAAACUAAAAAAUGCAUUUUUAAAGCUUUAUAAAAAAAGAAUUUUGUAAAGAUUAAGAUUAAUACAGCAGAUUUUUUCGCGACUAAAUAGUGGGUCUGUUACAUUAUGAAAAAUUGUAAUUAAAUUAUUGAAAGUUAAGAGCAAUAGUUUUCUCUCGAUUACUCAUUCACUACAAGAAUUACUCAGGUUAUUGAAUUCCAAGUUCAUAUAAAAGUAAUGUAUUCAGAAGUAAUAAAAUUAGUACGGUGAAGAUAAAAAUUAAUUUCUUUCUAAAGAUUUGUUACUUUUCAGAAUAUAAAUCCAAUGAUAAAAUGGACGAAUACAAUAGCAGAUCUAAUAUUCAAUAGAUUGCUCGUAGUCCUUGAUAGCUUAAUUUGCAACUUUCCCCUCGGUGUACCUAAUAGAUCCAAUAUUUGAUCACGAAAAUCUUAUUACCUCUAGCCUUCGUAACAAAUUCCUUUUGAAGGUUGAAAGUUCUAAGUUCAUAUUUAGUUUCGCCUGAAAUAUAUACACGCGCGUGCUGUGCGGAUGUUUUCUUGAGAGAGGGAGAUAUAUAAUAUAUACAUAUAUAUAUCAAGAAAAUUUUAGAAACUCCAUAGAAGCCUGUUACAUUCGAUAUUUCACACAAGUAAAAUUCUAUAUCGUCUCUAUUGCACGAUGUUCAAUAGAAAAGUUCUAAAGAAACGAAAGAAUAAUUAUUCCCCUUGCAGUUUCCUUGACUCUUAAUAUUAUUCUAUUUUUAUGCUUCAUCGCGUUUUAAUUCUGAGAAAUUUGAGAUGAUUAAGUUAUAAAUACAAAGCAAAAUAUAUGAUCUAAUAAUAUAAUUAUAAUUGCAGACUUAAUGAAAGAUUAUUAUAAAAAGUU